rnacentral:lncRNA from 1 species
GACACGCCUGGGAAAUUUGGAGCGCAGCUGCACCGCUGCGGACCUGAAGACCCCNNNNNNNNNNCCCCCACCCCAGUUCAUCUUCUUCUCAGGUAACAACCCACACCAGCUCCAUCGACGACCACCCUUCUGCUCACCUCCAAACGACAGACACACAAGAGUUACACAUAGAGAGGCCUAGGAGAUAGAGGCUGCGCAGCUUUGCUUCUUCUGGAUAAAGCUCGAAACUAUACACCAUAUAGAAGCCUGGAAAUUGAGCUGCGCAGAAAGGACUCCCAUGGUGGCGUUCUUCUGAAGCUGGGGGAUGCCUGAGACAUUCAAAAAAGCUACGCAGCUUUUACAAAACCCCUCCCCGACGGUCUUUCUUCUUCUUCAUCACAUUCGUCAGCCAAAAACCAGCCCUCAGCGACAAAAGAACAACAUGAUGCUACUCAUCUUCAUCCGUCAAAACAGACCUCCAAUCUUUGUUGCAGCCAGCAAUAGAACUAGCUCUAAGAGCAUGAAAAUAGGAGCUCAAAUAGCAGCUCGGCGCCGUGGAUAUAGCGGUGUGUGUGUGCGAUUUCUGAUUCUCACUAGACUUUCACAUUCGAUUUUCUUUAAUGCUGUCCGGCGAGUUUCGAGGUUGUCCGGGUGAAGUUUUAUCCGAGGUUCCGUUCGAAGUUCCAGUCAUUGGCUCAUUUAAGUGUUGCGGCUUGCUCAUUUGUAUACAUAGUAAACUCGGAAAUAAAGGUUAAUUGUUCUUCACUCUCUACUUUAUUUAGCUCACUUUGUUAUUCUUUCGUGUUACUCUGCUUAUUUAUGAAUUAUAGCAUGAUAAAGUUAAUUUGGUCGUGUUAAUUGAUGAUUUUGAUUAGUCAUGUUGUUUCAGUUGUGUUGUAGAUAGCUAGAUCCUAAUAGGCUCGUGCUUUGUUUCAUUAGUAUAUUAAGUAGAGGCGAAUAGCUAAGAUUAGUUGUUUUUUUCUUGUUGGAUAUUGCUUUGAUAUUAAUGGUUGAGGUCAACUGUUAGAUGGAAUUGUUUCAAUAAAGUGAGCACUCUGCUAGUCCGUUAAUUUGACCUCCAAUUUUAAUUUCAUAUGUAUGUGUGUGGCAACAAAGUUGUGAUUUUCAUAUAUAAUUCUAGUUUUAUACGUACACGUUCGUGUGAUAUAAUUACAAUUUCUUAAGGAUAGAUUGAGAUGUGUCGUGCCAAAUAAAAUCCCAGAACCUAUGGCCCUCACUUGAUUAAUCUUGAUCCUUUAGAACUCGAGGCGUGUCAUUUAGCUAAUUUUCAUGGCCCUCGUCAAAUUGACAAUGCAUUAGUUGCUUUAAGGCGCGUAUUUAGUAACGUUACCUUCCUAAAUUCGGGUGCACAUUUAUGUGACUCAAAUCCAAAUCCCAGGGAAGUUGAAAUGUGUCAAAAAUCACGGGUGCAUUUAUGUGACUUGGUUCGAGACAUGUUUUAAUGAUGUUGCAAUUCUCUUUAAAAAAUACUAAUAAAAGCAACUAGAAGUUAAAUUUGCACCUAGGUUCAUAAUUGUAUAAAAUCAAAUAAUUAAGCCGAAUAUAACAAUUGAGCGACCGUGCUAGAACUACAGAACUCGGGAGUGCCUAACACCUUCUCCUGGGUUAACAGAAUUCCUUACCCGGAUUUCUAGUUCGCGGACUGUUAAAUAGAGUCAUUCUUUCCUCGAUUCGGGAUUCUAAACGGUGACGUGGGACACCAUAAAUCUCCCAAGUGGCGACUCUGAAAUUCUCUUAAAUAAUUGAAUCCCCUUUCGAUUGUCAUUUAAUUGGAAAAACUACCUUAUCUACGCCCUUUGCCGGGUUGUAGUAGCCAAAAGGAGGUGUGAAAGCUCUAGCGAAUCUGGUGGGGAAGGUACGCAGAAUCUCUGGUUCAGGGUCUAAGAAUUCGAGCUUAGAAUAAUUGUUGUAUUUGACUUUGUUUAUUAUCUUAUUUUACAUGUUGGCUUAACGUGCAAAAUGAUGUUUUUACCGCUUUGAUAUUAUCUGAACUGUACAUAUAAAUUGCGACAAAACCCUUCUCUUCUCACCUCGGGGAAUGUGCUUACUGGUUGAGACUCCUUAUUCUAUUAGCGUCAUACCCUGGAAUAUGAAAGAGGCCGGACAAGUUACUAAGGCGGAUGGCUUUUUGGUUCCCGGUACGUAGCCCCCUCCUCGACUCGAGUUGUCCGCUCGGGUACACAGUCAAGAACAUAUACCAAGGUUUUUAACCUAGAAUAAAUCAGCCUCAUGCUGGAUUCCUAGUAGGAGCGCGUAUUUGCAUCAUCCAUUUGACUUAGGGGACUUAACAUAGGGGUUGAGUCCGUCUAGGAAAGGUGUACCCAAUUUAAAAGACCAUCCUGAUGCAUUUUAUAUGCCACAUGUUGCAUUUUUUUCAAGGGUGAAAGGGUCAUUUGGCGGAUCAAUGAUAGCUGAGGGUAAAUGAAAAACAAAUGAUGAGAAAUAAAGAAAAGCAAAUGAAAAUAAAAAGUGAAAGGGUCAUUUGGCAGACCAAUGAUAGCUGAGGAUAAAUGAAAAAAUGAGAAAAAAAAAACAACAAUUAAAAAAGAGAGGGUGAAGUGUAGAAAUAAAGCAAGUAGGAUUUAGUUAUGUUUUUGUUGUAUUUUUAUUAAUAAAAGAGACAAAAGAUAUGUGAAAAAUUCAAAAAAAUGUUUCGCACUUUUUAUUAUUUCCUGAAAAUCAAAACAAAGAAAAAGAAAAAAAAUCCAAAAAUAGUUUACAUGUUUCAUCUUUUUUUCAAAAAAGAGACAAAAGAAAAUGUGUUCUUUAAAAACUAGUUUUUUUUUUAUUCUUGCCCCUAUCCAAGUUGCCCGAACUACGCAAACCUGAUUCUCGUCUUUCGGGAUGUGAUACGUAGGCAACCCAUAUAGGGUCCGGUCUUCGUAGUAAAUCUUAGGUUCUUGGCUUUGCGGGGUCAUAGCCAAAUUUUGCACUUCUAGCCACUUUUAACCACACAUGUUAGUUUUAGAAUUCAGAAGUUGUUUGUUGGAAAUUGUUUGAAUUAAGUUGUGUCAAUGGACUCUACUAUUGAAAUUCUUAGAGUUCAAGUUGGAAUUCUCUUGUCAAACUUCUUUUAUGCUGACGAAAGUUUUGUUGAGAUCAGUCUUUGUUUGUCGGAGCAUUGUUUUGUGAUUUUACUUCAAUUUAUGAAUUGUUCGUGUGCUAAUGUUCGGAAAAAAAUUCUGCAUUGAACACCAAUUAUCUUUGUGCUAUGACUGCGAUGUUCUGAAGCUUGUUUGUUCAAAUUUUGCCACUAUUUAUGGAAAAGUUUCUGGAGUAAACUGAAUGUCUCCUAGCUUGAACCUUGUUACCAUUGGUUUCUAAUAGUUGUUGUUGUCAUUGAGUUUAAUAGAGGGGGUUCAGUUGGACUAGAGAUUGAGCAGCUUGAAUUGUGAUUUGGUUGAGCAUACAGUAAGCUUAAUUCUCCGAAAAUUGGUGUCUGUUGAGAUUGUGCUCGAGUUUAGCAGUGAUAGCUUGAAAUCUAAUUUUUACUUCUUAAAUGUUCUCCUUGUUGAAUUAAGUGCUUUUGUUAUGUAAACUAUUGUCUAGUUGGUUAGAAUCUGCUGAGAGAAGUUGCAUGUUUGCUGGAAAAGAAUUUGCUACUUGUUUUCUGUUGUUGAAAAGGAUUUCAUACUUGCUGUCCACAGCCUGCAUUGUUCAUUUUUCGCUCAACAAUGGAGAUUUCCAUAUUUCUUUAAUUGAUUGUUGUUACUAUAGUUUUUCAUAACAGUUGAGAGAAUUUUGCAAAAGUUUUAGCUUUAGUUAACUCAACUACGUUGCUUCAGUUUAUAUUUCACAGUUGAGAGAAUUUUGCAAAAGUAUUAGCUUCACUUAACUCAAUUGCGUUGCUUUAGUUUAUAUGACAACAAUACACUAUUAAAAUUCAUGUUUUGAGCUAUUUUUUUAAAAGCAGAUCACGCUGCCGAAUUUAGUGCCCAAGGUGUUGCUAAAUGUUUUGAGUUUUGAGACGCAAUUGAAUAGCCAACCUGCAACUUGUUUGAAUCUUAGAAUUAUUCAUUUAAAUGAAAUUUGUUGAUGUAAUACAAGUUUCCUAAGCAUUAUUUGUAUUUUUCUACAACAUUUUGUAAACCUGAAA